CUAUUAAAAGGGAAUACAAAAUAAUCUUGAAGUUGGACAUGAGAUUAUAUAUUGCUUCAUAUAAAUUAAUUCCUCUUACAAUAUGGUGUUUUAUAGGCUUGCCUUGAGUUUUGUUUUACCAUUGAAAUUCAAACUACUUUUGCUAAUUUAGGUUUUAAAUUACUUUCAGAUUUCAUGUUUAAGCAGUUCACAACAUUCAUAUCUCCUUUUUUUGCAUUUUGUUUGCUAAAGUAUCUAUAAACAGCUGUGGAAAACAUUCAAAUACUGGAAAACACUGGUACAUUAUUAAGCAGUAUUCAAAUAACAUAAAAUUUGGUUUUCCUAGCAAAGUUGACAGCACCAUACAGAAUCAAAUGUAAAAAGUGUCAACUUAAGGAAAUAUUUUACUUUCAAAUUUUGUUCUUUCUUGGAAUAUCAUUCAUAGGAUUUCCACUUCUCCAGGUGUUCUUGUCCAGUUACUCACAAGUCAACCUUAACUUUCUACUCCAUGUGUCAGCAUUUCCUGAUCUUCCUUUCAACUUGAUAUCAGUGAAUUCCUUCAUGCCAGUAUCAUUUAUCUGCUGACUGCUAAUCUUUAAGUCUCAAAGGAGAAUGAUAACACUUUUUCUGGUUGUUCUGAUUCCUUAAGUGAUUUUGUAUGUGUUUGUAAAAUAGGAUUAAGGGAGAAACCCUAUCUCUGGGAAAUCCAGGAGAGAAUUCCCUCAAGAAAAUAUGGAACUUAGGUAUACUACCUUUUACUAUCUAUAUUAUUAAGACUUGAGAAAAACUGCAAGAAUGUUGCUCACAUAAAUCUUUAAAAGAAAACCAUAUCAAUCUUCCCACCUAAUCUAUGAAGAGAAAAUAAACUGAUAGUUAAAAAAUAAAUCAUACCCCUUCAAAAAGGAGGAGCUUCAAGGGAAAGUUGCAAAAGCUUUCAUUAGUAUUAGAGAAUAACACAAAUUUGUUUUUGUUUUUGUUUUUGCCUUUUCUAGGGCCACUUCCUGUGGCAUAUGGAAGUUCCCAGGCUAGGGGUCAAAUCGGAGCUGUAGCCGCUGGCCUAUGCCAGAGCCACAGCAACGUGGGAUUCGAGCCGCAUCUGCGACCUACACCACAGCUCUUGGCAACGCUGGAUCCUUAACCCACUGAGCAAGGCCAGGGAUCGAACCUGCAAGCUCAUGGUUCCUAGUCAGAUUUGUUAACCACUGCACCACAACGGGAACUCCAACACAAAUUUGUUAUAAUAAAAUAUAGUUUCAAAAAAUUUUUGUUCAUUAAAAAAACAUUAAAACUGAGUGGGGGCGUUCCUGUCAUGGCUCAGCAGUAACAAAACCAACUAGUAUUCAUGAGGACACGGGUUCAACCCCUGGCCUUGCUCAGUGGGUUAACGAUCUGGCGUUGCCAUGAGCUGUGAUGAAGGUCACUGACAGGGCUCAGAUACUGCAUUGCUGUAGCUGUGGUGCAGGCCAGCAGCUGCAGCUCUGAUUCGACCCCUAGCCUGGGAAUUUCAAUCUGCCUUAGCUGUGGCUCUAAAAAUAAAUAAAUAAAUAAACAAACGAACAAACAAAAUGAAUGGGUUCAUGUUGGUAUUAUCUUCUCUAAUUUAUAUCAUAAUUUCAAUUUUUGUUUUUUGUUUAGGAGAGCAAAAUGUAUUUUUAUGAAUUUUCAUCUUCACAUGGAGCAGAAAUGAAAUUGAGCCUAAAGGACGCUUUAUUUUAAGUUCUGGAUUCUCAGUAUGGUGGCUGAAGGAUUGUGGUAAAAUGGCUGAGCUCCUCAAUAUUUGUCUCACAUGUUCCUUGCCCUCAGCUGGACAACAUUUUUCUGGCCUUGAAUCAGGGGGACCAUGUGGCUAGUUCUUGCCACUGGAAUAUGACAGAGAGUGUGUCCUCCCAGAGAUGAUGCUGUCAUAAGUAAUAGUGCACUUGUGCUCCCUUCUCUCUCUUCCCUUCUUUCCAACUUUCCUCUACUCCCCUUCCACCUUCUCUCUUUCUUAUUGCCAAGCAGGAUAUCGAUGGUCUAGCAGAGGAUUCUGAGAUUCUAGGAAUGUUGAGUCCCCUAGAUGGAAGGAAUCUAUAUCCCUGAACUGUAGGCAAAACAGAGCCAAUUCCCUAACUGGACUAUCACAUAAGUGGGCAAUAAAUUUUUCUUGUGUUAAGCCAUUAAGUUAAUGGUUAUAGUAUCUGGUGUAUAGAUGAUAGAAGAGUAAACUGUCUCUGAGAGAACAGUUUAUAUUAAGGCAUAUACCUUUUAAGGGAAUAUUUGAUUAUACUUAUUUUAUGGUUGAGAAGUACGCAAUGAUACCCCUAUUGUUUUAGAUAGCAGAAAAUUAUGGAAAUUAAAAUGUGCUGCUUAAAGGAAAACUUCCUUGACAUGAUAAAAGACAGUGACAAAAUUUUAAAAAACCCUACACAAUCAUAGUCUGUGAUAAAAUAUUGAAAAAAAGAAUGUCUUCUAUCACCACUUUCAUUCAUCAUAUUAUUGGAGGUCCCAGCUAGUGUAAUAAACAAAUACAAAGAAAAAGGAAUAGCAAUUACAAAGCAUAUAAUGAAACUGCCACU
rnacentral:lncRNA from 1 species